rnacentral:rRNA from 1 species
CAAUAGCGUAUAUUAAAGUUGUCGCGGUAAAAAAGCUCGUAGUUGGAUUUCUGUUGAGAGCGACCGGUCCAUACCAUGUAUGCGUAUCUGGCUUGCUCUCGGCAUCCUCUCGAUAGACGUUACUGCGCUUGAUUGCGUGGUGCGGAUCUCGGGACUUUUACUUUGAGGAAAUUAGAGUGUUCACGGCAGGCUUUCGCCAGAAUACAUUAGCAUGGAAUAAUACUAUAGGAUCUUGGUUCUAUUUUGUUGGUUUCUAGAAUUGAGAUAAUGAUUAAUAGGGACAAUUGGGGGCAUUCGUAUCAACACGUCAGAGGUGGAAUUCUUGGAUUGUGUUGCGACGAACUACUGCGAAAGCAUUUGCCAAGGAUGUUUUCAUUGA